rnacentral:rRNA from 1 species
GAUGGAUUGGUGCCUUCGGGAACUCUGACACAGGUGCUGCAUGGCUGUCGUCAGCUCGUGUCGUGAGAUGUUGGGUUAAGUCCCGUAACGAGCGCAACCCUUGCCUUAGUUACCAGCACGUUAUGGUGGGCACUCUAAGGAGACUGCCGGUGACAAACCGGAGGAAGGUGGGGAUGACGUCAAGUCAUCAUGCCCCUUAUGACCUGGGCUACACACGUGCUACAAUGGUUGGUACAACGAGUUGCGAGUCGGUGACGGCGAGCUAAUCUCUUAAAGCCAAUCUCAGUUCGGAUUGUAGGCUGCAACUCGCCUACAUGAAGUCGGAAUCGCUAGUAAUCGCGGAUCAGCACGCCGCGGUGAAUACGUUCCCGGGCCUU